AACUUUCAAUCUGUGCCGUCAUCUCUGUGCAAGACCAACGGGCACAGCAUCGCGACUUUAGUUCGGGUCAGUAGCGUAGUAGCGGUAAAAUAUGGCACUGCUCCCUUGGAAUUAUCUGGGUAGAGGUAGCAUCCGUACCUUUGUCCUACCCAUCCCUCUGCCCUUCCCCUCCAUCUGUCUCGUCUCCCUUACGGCUACCGGAUGCCUAAUCUGCGCCGUCUUGUGUUACCAGAGCCGCAUUACCCUCAAGGCUGGGGUUCACCACUAUCACGCGGUGGCCUAGGAUGGGUUAUUUCUUGUCGGCACGCAAGUAUCCGCGCACUAAGAACCUCUAGGGAAACGACUCAGCCCGAAGGCCCAAGGCCACCCUCCAGUUCAUCACGAGACCCCGCACGAUAUGUGCUUCAAUGACGUGAUAGAGUUGUCUUCUUAUGGUAAGGUGUCGGUUAGCAGCGGAUUACCGAUAUGGGCGCGCACCUGGGGCCACGUGGAGGCGUGCUUGCUUUGGGUUAGACGCCGACCCCGAAUCUCUCCAAGUCAGGAAGAACUGAAUGUUCAUCUCAAUCGUACAUAUUGAUGAUAGGUACUGCUUCUUUCUGAUUGGGUAAUUGCGGUCUCAAACGUUUCUUCUGCUCACCCUGUUGUCAUGCGGAGUGCUUUUGGGUGCGCGCGACGUUCGCCCAGCCCGGUCAGCUGCUACGGAGUGUUUCGAGCGAAGCGACCAGGUACAGCACUAGGCACGCCAAACACAUCGACCCUUUGAUAUAGCUUCAUGGCUGGGCCGUCAGGGAUGAGGGCUCGGAUUAUCACCAAUCAAAGGACAGAGCAAGGGGGUUAACGAGCCGAGGAAGAUCAUGGUCUCACUCCAUUUUCCAAAGCUCACCAUCUCUAGGUCAUUCUCGGGGUUUUCCAGCUAGCCUGAUCAGCUAGGGCGGCCGAGAUAUCCAAUUUCUCGCCUGUAUCUCUCAACCAAAGCAACGCCAAGCGAGAAUUUCACGAUUGAUGCGCCCCACGGUCUGUAUCGGCCAGUCCAAAGUCAGACGAACUCGCGAACCUCCAUCGGAUUUUCCAUCGGAGAUUGGGGAAACGGGCGACGAGAGAGGAAAAGGCUGGUUGAAAAUGGAAAAAGACUGAUGGUAGCGAGACUAGACUAGUCGCUCGUAAGACCAUUACUGUAAUUUACACUAAUACC